rnacentral:ncRNA from 1 species
GUAUCCUUCGCGAAUGAUCGAAAUCCAGACCAGCCUCCGACGUCGCCGCUCGCCGCUUCCCUAGGGAUGCCGCUGGCUCGUCACGGAUUUGCGCUCAUGUAAGCUUUCGAAGCGCAGGAAAUGAAGCCACGGGAUACCGUGGCUUUUGU